CUCAGAACGAACGCUGGCGGCAGGCUUAACACAUGCAAGUCGAGCGCCGUAGCAAUACGGAGCGGCAGACGGGUGAGUAACGCGUGGGAACAUACNNNUCGGUUCGGAAUAACGCAGGGAAACUUGUGCUAAUACCGGAUACGGACGAGAGUCGAAAGAUUUAUCGCCGAAGGAUUGGCCCGCGUUCGAUUAGCUAGUUGGUGUGGUAACGGCGCACCAAGGCGACGAUCGAUAGCUGGUCUGAGAGGAUGAUCAGCCACAUUGGGACUGAGACACGGCCCAAACUCCUACGGGAGGCAGCAGUGGGGAAUAUUGGACAAUGGGCGCAAGCCUGAUCCAGCCAUGCCGCGUGAGUGAUGACGGCCUUAGGGUUGUAAAGCUCUUUCGCUAGGGACGAUAAUGACGGUACCUAGAUAAGAAGCCCCGGCUAACUUCGUGCCAGCAGCCGCGGUAAUACGAAGGGGGCUAGCGUUGUUCGGAAUUACUGGGCGUAAAGCGCGUGUAGGCGGGCUUUUAAGUCAGGGGUGAAAUGCCAAGGCUCAACCUUGGAACUGCCUUUGAUACUGGAAGUCUUGAGUCCGGGAGAGGUGAGUGGAACUGCGAGUGUAGAGGUGAAAUUCGUAGAUAUUCGCAAGAACACCAGUGGCGAAGGCGGCUCACUGGCCCGGAACUGACGCUGAGACGCGAAAGCGUGGGGAGCAAACAGGAUUAGAUACCCUGGUAGUCCACGCUGUAAACGAUGGAUGCUAGCCGUUGGGGAGCUUGCUCUUCAGUGGCGCAGCUAACGCUUUAAGCAUCCCGCCUGGGGAGUACGGUCGCAAGAUUAAAACUUAAAUGAAUUGACGG
rnacentral:rRNA from 1 species